UGAGUGUUCACUUUUUCUUUUACUUGCUCUGUGACUGGCUUAUGAACAGUCUCUCUUUAAGGAAGAUUGUGAUCUUACAUUGAUUGACAGGCAGCAGUCACAGCUCCUAUAAUACGUGUCAUGGCUCCAGACCAAGAGAAAAUUAUUUGUUCACUUGGAAAAUGCUGAAACCUGAAUUUUGAAGUCAGACCCUAAAUAGGCUGGAGCAGGGACUCGAUCUCUUUCUUUUGAUCUUGAAGCAUCUACCUCAAGAAGGACCUGUAGUGGAUUGCCUGUACCAC
rnacentral:lncRNA from 1 species